rnacentral:tRNA from 1 species
GGAAGUGUGGGUGAGCGGUCUAAACCAUCGGCCUGAAUACCGCCCGUAGCUAGAGUAAACCGACGUAGGGUCUUCCCUACCGUGAGUUCGAAUCUCAUCGCUUCCGCCA